UAGCUCAGUGGUACAGCCCUUGCCUAGCAUGCAAGAAGCCCUGGGUUUGAUUCCCAG
rnacentral:tRNA from 1 species